rnacentral:rRNA from 1 species
GAUGAACGCUGGCGGCGUGCCUAAUACAUGCAAGUCGAGCGAACAGACGAGGAGCUUGCUCCUCUGACGUUAGCGGCGGACGGGUGAGUAACACGUGGAUAACCUACCUAUAAGACUGGGAUAACUUCGGGAAACCGGAGCUAAUACCGGAUAAGAUAUUGAACCGCAUGGUUCAAUAGUGAAAGACGGUUUUGCUGUCACUUAUAGAUGGAUCCGCGCCGCAUUAGCUAGUUGGUAAGGUAACGGCUUACCAAGGCAACGAUGCGUAGCCGACCUGAGAGGGUGAUCGGCCACACUGGAACUGAGACACGGUCCAGACUCCUACGGGAGGCAGCAGUAGGGAAUAUUCCGCAAAGGGCGAAAGCCUGACGGAGCCACGCCGCGUGAGUGAUGAAGGUCUUCGGAUCGUAAAACUCUGUUAUUAGGGAAGAACAAAUGUGUAAGUAAAUAUGCACGUCUUGACGGUACCUAAUCAGAAAGCCACGGCUAACUACGUG